rnacentral:tRNA from 1 species
GGGGGAUUAGGUUAAGUAAACUAUUGGUCUUCAAAACUAAAGAUGUGGGCUAACAUCCCGCAUCCCCCG